CCUACGGGGGGCAGCAGUGGGGAAUAUUGCACAAUGGGGGGAACCCUGAUGGAGCAACACCGCGUGAGUGAAGAAGGGUUUCGGCUCGUAAAGCUCUGUUGUUGGAGAAGAACGUGCGUGAGAGUAACUGUUCACGCAGUGACGGUAUCCAACCAGAAAGUCACGGCUAACUACGUGCCAGCAGCCGCGGUAAUACGUAGGUGGCAAGCGUUAUCCGGAUUUAUUGGGCGUAAAGCGAGCGCAGGCGGUUGCUUAGGUCUGAUGUGAAGGCCUUCGGCUUAACCGAAGAAGUGCAUCGGAAACCGGGCAACUUGAGUGCAGAAGAGGACAGUGGAACUCCAUGUGUAGCGGUGGAAUGCGUAGAUAUAUGGAAGAACACCAGUGGCGAAGGCGGCUGUCUGGUCUGCAACUGACGCUGAGGCUCGAAAGCAUGGGUAGCGAACAGGAUUAGAUACCCCUGUAGUC
rnacentral:rRNA from 1 species